CCGGCACGGGUGAGUAACACGUAUCCAACCUGCCGUCUACUCUUGGACAGCCUUCUGAAAGGAAGAUUAAUACAAGAUGGCAUCACGAGUCCGCAUGUUCACAUGAUUAAAGGUAUUCCGGUAGACGAUGGGGAUGCGUUCCAUUAGAUAGUAGGCGGGGUAACGGCCCACCUAGUCUUCGAUGGAUAGGGGUUCUGAGAGGAAGGUCCCCCACAUUGGAACUGAGACACGGUCCAA
rnacentral:rRNA from 1 species